AGACUGUCCAUCGCGAUCUAAUCUGGACCGUUCGAUCUCGUUUGAAUCUGGUCGUUCGAUCGCGUUUGUGAAGGAGCACAUCCAGGUCGUCCGUGCCCGCGGGAACUGACCUGGGCCAUUCAAUCGUGGGCAUGUAGAUCGCUCGUAUGGCACCACAUCAGCGGCCGUUGCUAUGUGGCGUGUCCUGGUUCGUCGGAGCUACU
rnacentral:lncRNA from 1 species